ensembl:lncRNA
CAGCUGACAGUAUAGUUCCUCUCUGUUGUUUGGGUUUGCCUAACUCCUUUUGGGAACAAAUAGACUGACACACACUGACAAUAAAAAGGCCUUGUCAGUUCGCUCCAAACAAAUAUGUCCUUCAUAUUUUUUCUCUCUCUUUUUCUCCUUUCAUUCCUACACUGAUUCAGUCUUCUUUAGUCCCAUGUUCUUUUUACCUGGGAACAAGGCCCUGUUUGUACCUGUGAGGGUGAAUAGAGGAAACAAGUAUCUUUUAAUCCAAGACUGCUCUGCUGCAGAGAGCAAGUGCUAAAGAGGGCAUUAGACCAGUGCAGUUUCUUAACAUAAAACAUGUAAUUUUGCAUCUACCCAGGCAGUUCCAGACCGUAGGAACAGUUCCAAAGGUCAGGAGCACCAGGAUGCCGAGGAUAAUAAGAUUAUAUUGAACUCAUCCAAAAGUCUGAACAGGCCAGCUACUGAUGGUGGAUCUCAGACAUGCAUGUGACCACUAGACAGUUUAACCGGGGGUGUACCUCUGGGCCGAUAAAUGAUACUAAAAUGGUGAAAGAGAAGAAAAGACAAGAGGAUGAAAGCCAUCAACAAUGCUCUACCCUGGGGAAAUAAGCACCGGCCAUUUUGAAUUGGUGAAACACUAAGACCCAGCUCUAGCACUCCACUGGCAUGAAAACUUCUCCUUUGGAGACUUAACCUGUAAAUGCAUAAGCUAUGGUCAGCAGGUUUAAUAAGGGGCUGGCAUAUCAGUGCAGAACCACCCAACUCAUUUGAAAUAAUUCUCUGGACCAGAGACUGGUUAUUUUUAUCCCUUGGCUAAAGGGAAAGGGUUUAUUACCCUGUUUAAAUACUGUGAGGCUCCAUCCAGCCUAGUUCAAACUCAAGUGGUACCCCAAGCU